rnacentral:rRNA from 1 species
GUGUCAGCCGCCGCGGUAAUACGGAGGAUGCAAGCGUUAUCCGGAUUCAUUGGGUUUAAAGGGUGCGUAGGCGGAUAUUUAAGUCAGUGGUGAAAUCUUGCGGCUCAACCGUAACAUUGCCAUUGAUACUGAAUGUCUUGAAUGCAGUUGAGGUAGGCGGAAUGUGUAAUGUAGCGGUGAAAUGCUUAGAUAUUACACAGAACACCGAUUGCGAAGGCAGCUUGCUAAACUGUGAUUGACGCUGAUGCACGAAAGCGUGGGGAUCAAACAGGAUUAGAUACCCUGGUAGUCCACGCUGUAAACGAUGAUUACUCGUUGUUUGCGAUAUAUUGCAAGCGACUGAGCGAAAGCAUUAAGUAAUCCACCUGGGGAGUACGUUCGCAAGAAUGAA